UACGAAGGGUCCAAGCGUUGUUCGGAAUUACUGGGCGUAAAGCGUGCGUAGGCGGGUCAGAAAGUCGAUUGUGAAAUCCCUGGGCUUAACCUAGGAACUGCAGUCGAAACUCCUGAUCUUGAAUGUCUGAGAGGAUGGCGGAAUUCCCGGUGUAGUAGUGAAAUACGUAGAUAUCGGGAAGAACACCUGAGGCGAAAGCGGCUAUCUGGCGGUACAUUGACGCUGAUGCACGAAAGCGUGGGGAGCAAACAGG
rnacentral:rRNA from 1 species